ACUCCACGGGAGGCAGCAGUGGGGAAUAUUGGACAAUGGGCGCAAGCCUGAUCCAGCAAUGCCGCGUGUGUGAAGAAGGCCUGCGGGUUGUAAAGCACUUUCAGUAGAGAAGAAAAGCCUGGGGUUAAUACCUCCGGGUCUUGACGUAACCUACAGAAGAAGCACCGGCUAACUCCGUGCCAGCAGCCGCGGUAAUACGGAGGGUGCGAGCGUUAAUCGGAAUUACUGGGCGUAAAGCGCGCGUAGGCGGCGAGGUCAGUCGAAUGUGAAAGCCCGGGCUUAACCUGGGAAUUGCACUCGAUACUGCCUGGCUAGAAUAUGGGAGAGGGAAGUGGAAUUUCCGGUGUAGCGGUGAAAAUGCGUAGAUAUCGGAAGGAACACCAGUGGCGAAGGCGACUUCCUGGCCCAAUAUUGACGCUGAGGUGCGAAAGCGUGGGUAGCGAACAGGAUUAGAUACCCUGGUAGGCUCUG
rnacentral:rRNA from 1 species